CAGUCUCUCAGGGUGGUGCAGUUUGGGUCGAACCUAAUCCAACUCAUAUCUGAUUUAAACGAGCUUGGGCGGCGGUAUUGCCAUCACGGGUCGCGCAACCCGACCCAAAUUGAAUCCGGAUGAGGGCCAUAACCCGACCCGCGUCGGCAACCCUUCCACUCUCCGAAACCCUAACCGCUGGCCUCAACGCCUACGCCGUGGCCUCUUUCCCUCUUCGACGGCGGCGACGGCUGUUCUUCAGAUCACUAGGUUGGUGCGUGGUGCCAGCCUUCUUGAGUAUCCGGUUACAUCGGUUGCAUUGCUUCAAGAAGGAACAGAUGAAGGUAAUUGAGCCUGUGGAGUUGUUCCAGAAGCUGUGCAGUUCGGGUGCCGUGCAAAAAGGACGAUUACUGGGAUUAGAUGUUGGGCAGAGAUAUGUUGGGUUGGCUGUUUCAGAUGUUGCUAAUCGAAUAGCAUCACCUGGAAGUGUCUUAGUCAGGAAGAAGACAAACAUUGAUAUCAUGGCUAAAGUUUUCCAGAAGUUGAUUUCUCAGCAUUCUCUCGUGGGAUUCGUUGUUGGUUAUCCAUUCUGCUUGUGGGGUCAAUCAAGUGUAGAGGCUGUGCAAGUUAGGCUGUUCAUGGAGGAUCUACGCAACACAGGGAGACUUAAUGGCCUAACCUACACAUAUUGGGAUGAAAAUUAUACCUCAAAGUGUGUGGAAGCCCUGUUAGAGCCACUGGAUCUAAAUCCAGUGAAAUCAAAAACAAUCAAGGACAAAUUUGCUGCCGUUGGAAUACUCCAGGGAUAUCUGGACAACAUGAACAGGAAAUUGAAAUCAGGAAACUUGGCUAGAGAGUGAUGCAACACCAGGAGGGACAUGAAAUGAAACAAAAGCAUGCAAGUUCUACUACUGGUUCUGAAAGCAUCUCAGUAAAAGCCAUUAGUAGCUUCUUAGAAGAAAGCCACAAACAGAUGGUAUGUCCCAAGAGAUGCAAGACUCGGAAAACUAUUGGAGCGUUGUGAAUUGGUCACGAUUGGUAGGAAUGUUUCACUCCGAUUUCCACUACAUUUUUUAAUGUUGGUCGCUAUAACCACCAACAAAAAAUUCUCCUCGAACACUCCUUCCACUACAAAAAAUCCAUCGAAACCCUAUAUGACUUAUUUUUGUUGGUUUCUAUUACACUUAUAAUUUUGAAAUAUAACGGGUCUUAAACGAUCA